UACGUAGGGUGCGAGCGUUGUCCGGAAUUAUUGGGCGUAAAGAGCUUGUAGGCGGUUUGUCGCGUCUGCUGUGAAAAUCCGGGGCUCAACCCCGGACUUGCAGUGGGUACGGGCAGACUGGAGUGUGGUAGGGGAGACUGGAAUUCCUGGUGUAGCGGUGGAAUGCGCAGAUAUCAGGAGGAACACCGGUGGCGAAGGCGGGUCUCUGGGCCGAUACUGACGCUGAGGAGCGAAAGCGUGGGGGAGCGAACAGG
rnacentral:rRNA from 1 species